GGAACUUCCCAAGACAGCCGUCAUCUCCUCCCAUCUCAAACCGAGCAGUCCACGCCGCCGUCUCCUCCCAUUCCCUCUCUCGCACGCCGCCGUCUCCACCCAUCCCAAAUUCUCCGAAUUUGUCGCGCUAGCUACUAGAGGAAGGGCUUGGACGCCGUCGUCGUCCUCGCCCAUCGGCGCGUCAUCCGAAAGAACCCCGUCGGCUCCGUCGAUCUGCUAGACCUGUCCAAGGAGAGGGAGAGCAGCAGUCGCGUUUGGACGCGAGGAGGGGGAGCAGCCAACCGCGCCCGGCCGGCGAGCACCGCGCCCCGUCGUCGUUCAGGAGCAGGACAAACAGCUGGUGACGGAGCUCACAUCAACGCCCGCCGACCACCUCGGUAGUUGAUUCAGGUGUCGGCGACGAGCAAGCACUCCGCUUAGCCUCGCCGUCCGCGCCCACCGACAGUCCCCUGGUUGUUGCAGAUGAGACAACCAAAUAGAUGUUGUCAUAGCUAGGAGAGGAGGAGGUGUCUGCGUUGCUGCAGCAUUAGGAAGAGCAUCAUGGCUUCGAAGGUCACACCCUGACGGUGCCUGCCCUGCCACACGAUCCACGCAUGCUGGUACAAAUGGUUCCCUCCUAUGGAUGACAAGGAUGAAGAUCGCUGUCGUCACGGCCAAGGGCCUUGCCUUUCUCCACGACGCCAACCUGGCGGUGAUCUACAAGGCCUCCAACAUCUUGCUCUACUCGGGUCAGUUUGAGCCUCCUUGAGCUCGACGUGAUCGGGGGCCAGUGCUCUACACGCUUGCCGACGUGGUGGCCGUCGAGGUGGUGGUCGUCAUGGUCGACUUGACGGCCAGGAUAGCAGGAGGAACAGAUGUGAAAAAGCGAUGGUCGUCGAGGUCGGCUUUACCUGCUAAGUGCAUCUACUUUUCGCCAGUGCUAACCAUUGUUUUGAAGCACCUUUCUUCUUUGUAAUCAUUCAUUUAGGCUGCAAGACUGCUGCUUCUCUGUUCA